UUUCGUUUCCUUUCCCUCUUCUUUCUCAGAAGUUAAGCCCCACCAAAACCUUCUCAAUCCUCUACAUUUUGCCUCUUCGCUUUCCACAUUUCACCUCCAUUAUCAAUUUCUAUCUUCCAGGAAAAGCUAACUCCUCUGGACCUGCCACAUCAAUCGAUUCAUGGCCAAAACCAAACCAGGCAAAAAAGACCUCGAUUCCUACACUAUCAAAGGCACCAACAAAGUUGUUCGACGUAUGUACUCUCUCUCUCUCUCUCUCGCUCUCUCUAUUGGUGGAAUCUCCAUUAUUUCUUUUUUGGCUUUAGGAACCCAUGAAUUUCUCAUCUUUUUUCCCCCCUUUUAGAACCCAUAUUCUCAUAUUGUUUCCUUUUUUUGACGUUAAAGAUUUUGAAAACCCAGUAUUAAUGGAAGUUUUCAUACUUUGUUUUUCAUCAUUUUUAAUAUUGGGUCAUUUGUUUUCCCGUUUGGGUCUCUCUGAAGACCGUGGAAGUUGCUUAUUUUAUUGCUUAUUCUCAAAAACCCCAAAAUCUCGUUUUUAUGAUAAUUUUUGAACUGCCCAUUUUGCAGAAAUAUUGUCUAAUUUUUAUUUUUUGAUCAUUCAAUGUUUUGUUCAUUUUGUUGCAGCUGGUGAUUGUGUGUUGAUGCGCCCAUCGGACUCCGAUAAGCCUCCCUACGUCGCACGAGUUGAGAAAAUUGAGGCCGAUCAUCGCAAUAAUGUCAAAGUCCGUGUCCGGUGGUACUAUCGGCCGGAGGAGUCCAUUGGUGGCCGCCGUCAAUUCCAUGGGGCAAAAGAGCUCUUUUUAUCGGACCACUACGAUGUGCAAAGUGCACACACAAUUGAAGGCAAGUGCAUCGUGCACUCAUUCAAGAACUACACUAAGCUUGAAAAUGUUGGAGCUGAGGACUACUUCUGUAGAUUUGAAUACAAGGCUGCCACUGGUGGGUUCACCCCUGAUCGGGUAGCUGUGUGAGUAUUCUUAUGCAUUUUCUGUUAUUUGGUUUGAAUUGAUUUUGUAGGUUUUUAAGUGUUGAAGUAAUUGGAUUAUUCAACUGAGACCUGGAUUCUUUUUUCUUCCUUGUAAGGUACUGUAAAUGUGAGAUGCCAUACAAUCCAGAUGAUCUAAUGGUGCAGUGCGAGGGUUGCAAAGAUUGGUAAAUUUUUUGCGGACUCUCAAUUUUUAACAAGAAUUAUAUAUAUUAAAUUGCAACGAUUACAUUUACAUAUUCUGUUGAUCUUUUAAUUUGUAGAAGCCACAUGAAUUUUGAAUUAGUGUCCGACAUACUGUCCUUUUGGUCUGUUAAUCAAAUGUUUCAUGGUAGUAUUUCCAUUAUUGAUAUACUUAUAACCUUGCGCUCAAUUUAAACCUCUGUUUGGCUGGUUAAACACUUAGUUAACUUAAGUGAGCCAAGUGAUGCUGUACCUUGGAUCAGAUUAUUUGCCAUUCCUAGGAUGCAGAUUAUUUGUUCUGCACCAACUUCAGCAAGCUGCAAGCCUGCAACACUUUGAGAUAAUCAUUGAGCUGUCACUGUAGUAGGGUUUUGUCAAAUUUUUUCUCUUUUUCCCUCCUCCUCUAUCCAUACAUUUCCACAAUACAUGGUUUCACAUAUUAGGAUUGUUUGUAAUUUUACCUGUAGCUCCUUCUUAUUUAUCCCAAAUUAAUUUAUUUUAGUUGAUUGUUUAAGCCUUGCAUGGAUACUAGUUUUUCGACUCAUGAUGUCAAGGUAACUACAUCAAAUCAGUUUCAAUUGACAAUAGACUGUUUGCACAUCAGCAAAAUUAUGUGAUAAAUCAAGAUAGAUUGCCGUCAUUCCUAGCUUGAUAUCAUAGCUCCAGAACACAGACCAGUUCAGGUAUUAUGUCUGGAGAAUCUAAAACAAGGGCCAUUGUGUAGAAGUAGAAUCAAACUUGGUUCAGGAGGAGUGUAAGGCAAGGGAUUAACUGCACUGGCAGAUCGACACUGUAUGCUAGUAACUUACAGUGUGAAAGGGAAUGCUUGAAAUGUGAAGAAACUUGAAGUUUUAGUCUUCAAAUGGCAAUAUUGGUUUUCAUAUCAACAAAAUUGUGUGAGAAGUUAAAGGGAUUAACUGCACUGGCAAGGGAUUAACUGCACUGGCAGAUCGACACUAUAUGCUAGUAACUUAUAGUGUGAAAGGGAAUGCUUGAAAAGUGAAGAAACUUGAAGUUUUAGUCUUCAAAUGGCAAUAUUGGUUUUCAUAUCAACAAAAUUGUGUGAGAAGUUAAAGUCUGAUUCAGGCUUCUUAGUAAUUAUUAUUAUUAUUAUUUUUUUGGGGGCGGGGUGGACGACUUGAGGCAAUGUAUCAUCUAAUAAAUGCGGAGGUUCUUAAGGUAUGAAAUAGAAUGCUUGAUAGGGAUUCUUCCUAAGAAUGAUUAAUAAUUGAUCUCAUAUGCCUGAUGAUCAAAAGUAAUAAACACCUGAUAUUGAGUUGUAAGCAGAAAACUUAUGUUAUAUUGCAGGUGCUUACUUAAAAAUGUGUCAUCCUGGUGUUUGGGGAUAGUUUCAAAUCACCUUUUAUCAUAGUUUCAACAUCAUAUUAUUAUGAAUUGGAUUCAUGAACUUUCUUACUUGUAGUAUUAAGAAAGGUCUCAUGGAGUUUUGAUGGGUUCUUUGAACUUUUUUGGAUUAAUGGUAACAUUGUGUUUCUUGUCUGUCAAAGCUGGUUAACUUUAGAUUGUUUAAACUUUUAGAUGAAGUACCCAAUUUAUAUUGGAAUUUGGAACUCUUUCACAGCUGAUUGGGUUUAUUUAUUUAUUUUUAUUAUGCUAUCAACUAAUUUUGGAAGUGACACUUUCCUUUAAUAUCCUUAACCAAGUGGAAUAGACAGAUCCAUUUAGCUGAUCCAUUAGAUUGAGAUUAAUGCUUGAUUUUACUAAGUAGAAACAUUAUGGAAAUAGAUCGAAACCAGGAUUUGAUGGUUGAACACUUAUUUAACCGUGGUGCGCUUUUUUGAAGUUGUGAUAUAUCAUCCACUGCAUAAUCAGAUAGUACAACUUGUCGUAUUGGAUUGUUAUUUUGUGCUUGAGAGACUAUGCAAUAGCAGUAAGAACACUAAAAACUGUGAUUCCCUAACAGCUUUGCUAAUACAUUGCAGGUUUCAUCCUUCUUGUAUGGGUAUGACAAUUGAAGAAGCCAAAAAAUUGGAUCACUUUCUGUGUUUUGACUGUUCCUCUGAUGAUAAUGCCAAAAGAACUUUGAACGCGUUCCCAGUAUCACCAUCUGUUGAGGGCAAGGUGAGCAUUGUGUCCCAUCUCCCUAGUACAACUCCAGGUGUGGGUGAAUAAGUAGGGUCUAGAUGUCAAAUUUAUCAUGUUGUUGUAGCAGGGUGAAGGAAAUUGAGAACUAGUGAUCAGCUUCGCUGCAUAAUAUGCUGACAUUCUUUGUUCUGCUAGUUCUCGUGGUGUUAAUCUUUUUUUACAACUUGGUACUCAGUUUCUCCAUCCAUCCUUUUUCUCUGUCAGUUUUGCAAUCAAGUUAUAUUCUCAUCUCAAGGAUUAUAGGAUGAUGCUCAGCUUGUUGUCUUAGACCUCAUGCUUUGGUCUUGCACAAUCUUUGCCCACCUUACCUGUCAUAUAACCUGUUUUCACUGUGCAACCAAAUUUCAGCUUUGUCACCUAUAGGAAUGUAACUAAUGAUGAAAAUGCCAACUGAUUUUGACGGUAUGGAUGUAUAGGGGCUUCUUAAUAUGAAUGCAGGAAAUUUCUAUAAAGUUUGAUAUGGAAGAAAUAGCUGAGAGCCACAAUAAUUUGGAGGCAUAUAUAUUGUGAUUAUGACAUCGUUAAGCGAUUAAAGUAGUGCAAACAUUGUAAAAGAGUACAAUACUCUCUGUGCUGAUAUUGCAUGCAGCUCUACUGAUUUGUGUUAAAGUUUAUCCUGGGCUGAUUGUGUCUUUGCUAGUUCCAAAUUUUGGUUCCAUGUACUAAUAUUCUAAGGCCUCUUGGGCCUUUGGUAUUGUUGUUAUUGGUUGUGUUUCGUACGUUCAAACACACAUAAGAAGAUUGGCCAAAUUAUGUUCAGUUCAUUUGGAACUAAGGAUUACUGACUUGAGCAUUACUAUUUCCAUUGGCGGGCAUGAAAAGAUGCAUCUUAACAUGAUGGUCCAUCAAAUGACAUUUUACUUGUUCAAUUGUAUUGCAACAUAAACCUCAGAUGGUACGUGAAUAUUGGCCGAGUUAAUUUGUCUGUUAAUGAACAAAUGCACAUGGGAUGGGGUUGGUGUUUGAUUUGGAUUUCUUUUUUAGUGUCUUAACAAGCAUGCCAGCACCUUCUUAUUGCAAUUAAAUUUAAACUGUGUAGUUAUAUUGUUUCAAGGUAGAGCAGGGGAUUAGCAAAUAGAAUACAUGCUUAGUUAAUUUAGAUCAUUGAAUGUUGGAUUAGAUAGAGAGAGAGAGAGAGAGAGAGAGAGUUUUCAUUUAUAUUUAGGGAUAAAUUGAAAGGUUUGAUGCACAUGGGACGGGGUUGGUGUUUGAUUUGGAUUUCUUUUUUAGUGUCUUAACAAGCAUGCCAGCAGCUUCUUAUUGCAAUUAAAUUUAAACUGUGUAGUUAUAUUGUUUCAAGGUAGAGCAGGGGAUUAGCAAAUAGAAUACAUGCUUAGUUAAUUUAGAUCAUUGAAUGUUGGAUUAGAGGAAACAGCUUAAUUGGUGUGACCUUGUUCAUCCUAGUUGAUAGUUUUCAUUUAUAUUUAGGGAUAAAUUGAAAGGUUGGAAUGGAUGUGUUGGUGGCAGUGAAAAGUACCACCUACUACCUAGGAGGUUGGACUUCAAACAGGUUCUGUUUCUAUUGAGGGCAAUGUCUAUGCAGCAGUGAUUAUUUGAGCUCCUAUACUCUGUUGAGAAAUUGGUUUUUUAUUUGCUUAGUCGAUUUUUUUCCCCUUUUUAAUUUUCUCCAUCAAUGGUCAGUAUGCUCUUGCUUGAUCAUGGUAAACUAGUGUAGUAAUGCUUUACACUAUGUGUCAGAGGAAGUUAGUUUUUAAAGAAGGUAAGGUUUUUGGAGUUCCUCCAUACCUUUAAACCACCCCCGCCCCUUCUUCACCUCACGAAAUUGGUGAAUCAGAGAAGUUUUGAUACUGUAAUUGCUAUUACCUUACAUUAAAAGAUCUCCAUAUGUUCCACCAAGCAUGCUGUUACCAUUUCUUUUAGCUAACAAAAGUCAUCAGUAGUGCCAUUUUAAUGUGAAAUGGCAUGCAAUGGCCAGCAUAGCUGUCUGCUUCUAGCUUUAGCAUAUUAACAUUUACUGGUUGCUUUCUGGUUAUAGUGUUAUAUACAAAAAAAAAUUUUUGUGAAAGGGUUUCCUGAUGUUUGCAGAAACUUGUAACUUUAUGAUGGCAUUCUUGAAGUGCUGCCAAAUUAUUUUGACUAACUCACAUGCAUACACACGGGAACGAGAAUGUCAUAUGUACAAUAAUCAGACUGGUACUUUUACCAUAGCAGACUUUGUUUACAAUUUCAUCCUAUUAAAUUUUACACAUUACUUUUGCUGCUUAUCACAUGAUACUUCUAGAAUUUGGGAUGGGAUCUUGUAGUUUAGUUGUCUAAAAACUCUACAUGUCCAUUUCCUUUAGAUCUUCUCUGUUGUGUGGAAGCGAAAUAUUGUGUAAUUUUCUAUUUCUACUUUAUAGGUUUUGCUUCUUUACACUUACUGGUGAUUUGCUCAACAUGGAUUUUAUAUAUAAAAGAUUUUAGUUUUAACAGAAAACAUUUUUUGAUGGUUGCAGAAACUAGUAACUUUCUGGUGUCUUUCUAAGGUGUUCCCAUGUUAUUUUGACUUUCCUAAGUUGCUUAUUUGCAUAAGUAUUAUCUGUACAAGUAUCUGACAUGGUAAACCCUAGCAUACUUUCUUUAUUUAUCUAACAUGAUACUCGUUUGGUAUUUUUGAUUUUAUAACUUGCUUUAGCUUUCUCUGUUGAAACUUAUCUCUAUUUUGCAUCUCUUAGUAAAUCUUUGUGCUUGAGAGUUUGGGAUGGCAUUUGAUUGUUUAGAUAUUCGAAUGCUCAUCUCCUCGAGUUCUGCAUGGAGCUAAAUGUUGUAGUCCUAUUGGUGUCCAUAAUUAGUGAUUAUUUUAUCUGUAUGAUGCAUAUAUCUGACCGAGUCAUGAAAUUAUCUAACACUCAUGAGCAGGUGGCAAAAUCGGAUGCCAAUCUUUGUGGGGAGAUUGUAUUCCCUGUGCUUUGCCAAUUUUGGUCAGAGAGAAAAUAAUGUUAAUUCAUUAAAGGAUUUAAGUCGUAUUUAUGGAAGUUAAUUUAUCAGAAGCAUUAGAAGUUCUGAAUAAUUAGUGAAUUUUAUUGCAAAAGAUGGAGGUGUAGCCUGUGUAAGUUUAAAUGGCAUAUUUUGCCAGUGGAUUUAUGAUAAAUGCUUUGGAAAAGAAUGCUUUGUUUGUGUGUUGAAUGAAGAAGAAUAUAUGUAUUAAUUCCUAUGAAAAGAAAAUUCAUUUCAAUUGAUAUUUUGAUUCUUGAUUGUUUCUAAUAUAGGAUUAUUAGUCUUUUCUGUUUUUUUGUCCUUUUACUCUUUAUGAUGUACUUUUCUUGUCUUGGUUUUUUAUGCUAGGUGGAGACAAAGCGAAGGAAGAGAUGACAGAUAAUCAUGAUGGGUAAUUGGGAGGUACUUUUUCUUGCACAUUAGCUCCAGUAUGUUAUUGUUGCCUGUUGUUCAAUUUUACAGUGCUGAUAAGAUGUUGUGCUUGCACAAGCUAGAGGCCCUUCUUAUUUAUAUUUUUCUAUUGUUUGUUCGUGUGAAUGGUCUUAGGAGAUGAUCUGUAGUGCCUAAUGAUGUCCUCAUGAGUACUGUGCCAAAAAUUGAAGUAUCUUUUUUCUUUUCUGCGCCAAUGAUGAUGAAUCAAACUAAAUGUCUCGUGAACCUUGGGUUUGUUAUGGUAUAUGCUAUAUAUGUGAUAAACUCAUCCUGUUCUUCCUUUCUUCUUCCCUUAAUCACAAGGGAUGAGGAAAUAGGGGUUGGGUUUUAGCAAGAGAUGUAACAGUCGACUUAAUCCAGGCACUGUUUUGGACUCAAAUCUUCACGUGGGGUGAUUUGUUGAUGUAGAUGAAGGCAAAUAUCACUCAGUCUCAACGUCCAAGAGUGGUUAUGGUUUUCUUGUUCCUUUUUUUUUUUGUUUUUUUGUAUAGAUGGCUCUGGACAAAUUUUCGAGCCUGUGUCCCAAUUCUCUAGUUGCCAAGUCUUCUGAAAUUUUGAAUCACCUGUUGAAGGUAGCUGAUUGAAUGUGGGAUUUCCUCUAUUGAGCAGAGCUGCUGAUAGCCUUGCCGAGGGCAUCAACUGUUCCGUCUGAAUUUCUAUGCAUAUAUAUGAAUAACCAUAUUUGUGGGAGCAGGGGAGCAAUGCCACCAUCUAUUGGUGAGCAUCUUGAUCUAAUUAUGCAUAUUUUUGUUAUCGACAGCCUUUAGUUGAGAAAGGGAGAGGGAAAAGUGGACAUUGAAGGUCUGUGUGCAUAAUGCAUGAAUGGGUUUCUUGAAGGAUUUGGAAUCCCACACACAUGUUCUUAGAUGAUAUUUUAAUCACAUAUAUCAGAGUUGAGUGCUGGGAAAGUAAAUGCAAUUUAUUGUAUUAUACUGGAUCUUACUGGUUUCUGAGGGAAAAGGUACUAGUCAAAAUUGCAUGGUUAAGAAGAAAAAACAGAAAGAAAGCAGGGAGGAGCACUGUUUGAAUGCGGAUCGUUAAGCAAAUGUUGGUUGUUGACCAACAUCCAUGUAUUAUGAAGGAUUUUAGUAAAAAAAAUUACAUUUUGAAAAAAAGGGUGAACUAAUGAAAACUUAAAAGAGAUUAUUUGUGUUUGCAAGUUCAUAAAGAGUUCAUAAAAUAUCUGAUCUCAAACAUGUGUAUCUAAAUAAGGAGAAAUUUAUUAUUUAGGAAAAUUUAUUACUCGAUUUAUUGGGGUUGAAGAAUAUUCUGAGAUUUUAAAAAAUUUAUCAAAUAAGUUAUUUUUUUAUUUUAGCUAUUAGACUAAGAAAAAUUUAUUAGUUUUAGUCUCUUAAUUUUCCUACUGUAUUAAUAGUAUUGUUAAUUUUUUUAUAAUAUUUAAUGCUUAAAAUUAAAUAGCGAAUUAAUUAGUUUAUUUUUUAAAAUUUCAAACAUUUUUGUAUAUUGUUUAAAAAUAAAGAAUUAACUUGUUGUUUUAUAUUAUAUAAACUAAAUAAUAAUUUUUUUCAAACAAUAUAUCAAUUUUUACUUUUGUUUACUCAAAGCUUAGAAACAAGAAUUAAUUUCCUUGUUCGCUACCUGUUUUUAAAUGGAGUUCCGUUGCCAUGUUAACUUUUUUUUUUUUCUCCCUUUUUUUUUUAAAUCAAAGCCUGAAACUUAAAAAUACAUAAAAAGCCUAGGACAGAAAAUCCAAAUGAGAAUACCCACAACUCAAAUAUAACAAAAUUCAAAUCCAGAUUGAAAUCCAAGCAUCUUCUAGAAGGGAAUUGCUGCCGCUUAAAGCCAAUGCCAUAUUUUAGCAAAUCCAAAAAUCAAUUUGAUGCAAAUUAAAGAACACCAACCUUGUGUUAGACGCUUUUGGACAGAAAAAAUCCCCAAUGGAAAUAAUUGAAACCAAGCUAGCGAUGGAAGGUCUUUGAUUUCUUCGGGAGCAAGCUAUAUCCUCAAGCACUUAAGGCACUAGUAAAUCAGUUACAAUUCACCAUCAGAGACACUAUGGAGUCGCUAUCCCAUCCAUGUAUGAGGUUUGGAGAAGAAAAGAGAAGAAAUAGAGAAAUUUUUAGUUUGGCCUUUAGAGUUAGCAGACAUUGGGAAACGCUGCUUUUAGACCCUAAAGUCUGUUUUCUCAAACAUCGCAUCAAUAUCAAUACCUCUGAUACAUACAAGAAAAGCAAACCAACCCACAAAAAAGAAAAAACAAGAAGAGAAAAACAAGAAAAAGCACCCAACAAUAACAAUUUAAAUUCAAUAGAACCCUGCAGGAAAACUCAAUAGGCAAGAUAACUCUUUUACCAUUCGCUCUAUUAUGAGAGAAAAUAGAGAAAUAAAUUCAAACAAUGCAUACAUAACUCACCGUAUGAAAGAAAAUAGAGAAACAAAUUCAAACAGUGCACAUACACAACAACUCUUAUGAGGAGAAUUAAUCUAUAAUCCGAAUAGAGGAGGAAAUAGAGAAAUAAAUUCAAAUAGUGUAUACACAACAACUCUUAUGAGGGAGAAUUAAUCCAUAAUCCGGAUUGAGGAGGCUUUCUCUCGCAACAAAAAAGAACCUAAAAAGUUAAGAGGGAAAAAAUUUUUUUUUAUUAACUUUUCAAUAACUACUCAUUUUCACAUUAAAUCAUAACUGAUUCUAAUUUAUAAAUAAUGUAAAUAUUUUAAUCUAUUAUAUAAUACAAGAAAAUUACACGAACUCCAUAUUUAAAAUUACAAUAAAUUUAUUUAAAAUCAUAAAAAUUUAUUUUUCUUAAUUUUUUAAAAAAUAUUUUUCAUAUAUUUAAAAUUGAAUCAGACUAAUAAUAUAGUCAUAAAACAAAACCAAACUAAAUGUUAAACCAAAAUCAAAUUAUAAACCAUUUUAUGACUCAAUUAAAAUAGAAUAGAAAAUAUUAAUAAAUUUUGGGCUAGAAAUUAACUUGGGCAUGAUUAAUAAUUAGAGAGCUGAUGUAGCAAUGGAGGUUAAAUUUAGCAAAAGGAGUUAAUGGUAGGAUAAACUAAUCCUAUGAUAACAGUUCAAGCUAAAUCUAUCAAGACAAAAAAAAAGGAUAGAAUUAUUAAGUGGUUAAGGUUAUAUAUAUAGUUAUGUUCUAUCAUAUUAAACUAUAUGUCAUUUUUUGUUUUGAAAUAAUAAUUUUAUUUAUUAAAUUGCUGUAUUUUUAUUUAAUAUAGAUUAAAAAACUAAAACCUAUUAGUUUCUAAAAUAAUUUCUUUUUAUUAAGAAAUUUCUAAAGUAAUUUAAAACAUAAGGUAUUUAAUCUUUUGGAAGAUUUACAUUUUAGUUUCUGAGUAUUGCCACAAUUAACAAGUCAGUCCCUGCGUUUUUAGAAACCUAUUAAAAUGUCCUUAAUUUUUCUCUCCGUCAACGAAAUAGUCCUUCUGUCAUCUUUUCCGUUAAAAAUAGAUAAAGGAUGAGAGUGAAAAUUUUUAAAAUUCGAUUUUGCCCUCAAAUAAAACUCCUUAUUUAGUCCUUGGAUAUUGUUAUUAUUAAUAAGUCAGUUCCUACAUUUUCAAAAAUCUAUUAAAACGUCCUUAUAUUUUCUCAUAUCCAUUAAAACGUUCUUAUCGUUUUUUUCCGUUAAUGAAAUAGUUCCUNNNNNNNNAGAAGAAGAUGAUGAUGAAGGAGAAGAAGAAGAAGAAGAAAAAAGAAGAAGAAGAAAGAGAAGAAGAAGAAGAUGAUGAUGAUGAAGAAAAAGAAGAAGAAGAAGAAGAAAAAUCUUCUCCUCCUCCUCCUUAAAGAAUAAGAAUCCUUAAAGAAGAAGAAGAAAAAGAAGAGCCAAAGAAGAAGAAGAAGAGGAGGAAGAAUCAAUGAAGAAGAAGAAGGAUGAGGAGGAGGAGGAAAAGAAGGGGGUAAUUUGGUCUUUUGCUAUAUCUUUAACGGCAAUGAUUAUUUUGUUGACGAAAAAAAAAGAUAAGAGCGUUUUAAUAGGUUUCUAAAAAUGCAGGGAUUGACUUGUUAAUAAUAGUAAUAUUCAACGAUUAAAUUGUAAAUCUCCCUAAUUUUUUUAUGAGUAAGAAAAUUCAAUAAAAUUCAUUACUUAAUCUAUGUCAACUUUAUUUUAUUAAAUAAAAUAAAAAAAUUUAUUUUUUGAACAAAUCUUCCUUUAUUAUAUGCCUCUUUCUAUUUGAAAUAAUAAAUUAUUUAUGAAUUUAUUAUUAUGUUAUUAUUUAAUAUGCCAAUAAAAAAAUUUAUCCAUUGUAGAAGUAAUUUGAUGUAAUAUAAUAAUAUUAAGAAGAAGGUUAAACAAAAGUUAUUAUUUUAACUAUAUUAAUCAUUAUCUCUUCUUAAAUUAUAUUAGAAAGAGUAAUAACUAUUUAUAACUUACAAGCAAUUGCUAUAACCUUGAAUUCAACAUGUAACAUGGGAGACCUUUCUGUUAUUCCAGAUGUAACUAUCAUCUUUUCCCAAAAAAAAAUUAUGUUUACUUGUCCUCUGUUAUUCAUAAAAAGAAAUUUUUUUGUACGUAUCAACUUUAUGUACUCUCGAUCAUGAUAGUUUAUGCACACUCGAUCAAUAGAAUAUGAUAUGACUCGAUACUUUUUCAAAUUAUAUUAUACGAUAGUGACCUUUUAUUGGACCAUGUGAUGAUGAUCAUGAUUAAGACACUCGAAUAUCCAGACUUAAGUGCUUAAGGCAUAAAGGCUCGAUUGUUCAUAGCAUUUGCUUGGUUGACUUGGAUCCUUGAAGGCUCGCUUUGUUGAGGCAAAGUCUCAAGCCUUUCCAUUUUUUACCGUUGAUAGUUAUUGCGAUGUAACCACCAGAAUCCCUACAAUCAUGGAAUCUCUUAUUCACUUACCGGUACAUUCCGGAUUCUUAGGGAAACUACUAGCCAACCCGAUCUUCUUGAAAUAUAAAGGUAAUUUAGAAUACAGGUUCAAGGUAUACAUUCUACUACUCACUUAAAUUGAUUACAACUCUUAUUUCACUCACACAUUUUAGCAGUUUCUAACUUGAGCGUCGAAGUGGUCGCCUCUAAGCACCAACCACCUCACUUUUUCUCUUUGUAGAUUGCUAGGUUAUAUAAGGAGCAUUCUCAACAAAAUCAUUUAGUUCUAUUAUCAGGAUCUCAAAGAGUUGUCUUGAUCAUUUGGAAAAAUCUGACUUGUUCAAUAAUUUCUACUCUUUUUCCUUCUUAUUCAAAACUCAAUUUCUCCAAUGAUAAAUAGCUCACAAACAGUUACCAAGUUUGCUGCAAAUGGGGGGGCUAUUGUCUCUUGCACUUUGAAACGUAGACAGAACAUUCCCCCUAUCUCAGUCGAAAUGGAUCUUAAUACUUUGAACAAUGAGCAGAUGAUGCAAUAUACCAAAAGACUGCAGACUACUUUUGAGCAAUAUAAGGCUCAGGAUAAGGCUUUACAAGGUAUCACCAAGGUAAGAGAAGAGACCUCUCAGAAGACGCCUAGAGCUAGGGGAGAGGCAACCAUGCCCAAUCUAAAGGGAAAGGUAAGAUAGAAGAUGAAGAAUCCUCAGACGAGGCGUCAAGAAGUGUAGAUUGAAAGCUUGUACACGCUGUAAAGAGAUUUCAAAAGGAGCAGGAGGAUGACUUCGAGUGGGGGAUGCCUCGCCUAAUGAAAUCUUGGCAAAGACUUUUCCACUAAAAUUCAAGUUAUCCAGUUUAGAUAAGUAUGAUGGGAUUUUGGACCCAAGGAGUCAUUUGGCCAUUUUUUGAACUACAAUGCAGCUGCAAGACGUUAAUAAUUUUAUCCUAUGCUGAGUCUUUUCAUCUGCACUAAUAGGUCUGACCCAAAAAUGGUAGCAGCACCUUAGUUAGGUUCUAUUAACAACUUCAUUAAGUUUGCUGUAGCUUUUAAAUCUAAAUUCAUUAUAUGCAUACCUCCAAAGAAGCUCUCAUUUGACCUCGGAAGAUCCGGCAAGGUGGGGGAGAGUCUCUGAGGAGGUUGAUUUCAGGGUUCAAUGCUGAGGCUAUACAGGUAGAGAACCUGAAUCAUAAGAUAGCUUGCAAAGCAAUAAAGAAGGAACCAAGAAAAUAAAGUUUAUGGAUUUGUUAAUAAAGAAUCUGGCGACCACCUAUCAACAACUGAUGGAUAAAGUCUAGAAGUAUAUAUGACUGGAUGAUGAAGUAUAGGUCUUGAGAUAAGAUAAGAGGGCGGAUCAGAAUAAGACCCAAAAAUCAAACAAGCAAAGUCAUGAAAGUGAAAGGAGGAGCUACUUAGUAUCAUGAGGCAGGGAUGAUAUAGGUAAUUAUAGAAGUUAUAUUCUGCUAAAUGACUCACAGAUACAAAUACUCAUGUAGAUAAGGAAAAACAACAAGUAAGUGAAAUAACCUGCUAAGCUUAACCCAGACAAGGCGAGCAGGCAGGACAAAACAAAGUAUUGCCGAUUCCACGAAAAUCACAGGCACACAUAGAAGAAUGCAGACAAAUAAAAUAUGAGAUUAAAAUCUUUAGCGAUGGAACUCUGAGAAGAUUUAUGAGAAAAGACAGGGAUGAAAGAAGAUUAGAACCUAAGGUAAGAGCACUAGUUAAUUCUAGUGUACCCUUAGGGGUCAUAAAUGUGAUUGCAAGGGGACUGAGCUGCAACAAACCAAAGAAUAAGCGCACCCCUAAGGAUGUUCUUUCUUUUGAAAAAGACCUAUAGGCAAGGCAAGAAAUGACAUUUAGACCAAGCAAUAAGACUAUUGAGUCAUCACACAAUGACCCACUGGUGUAAGUAUGAGGUUAAAUAGGUAUGAGGUUAAACAAGUGCUCGUUGACACGAGAAUCUCAAUAAAUUUCUUAACCCUCGAAGUUCACAAUAAAGUAGGCUUAGGAGAUAAAAUUGUGAUAGUUCUAGGCACCGUCAACCUCCCGCUUGUGUUGAGAGAUGAGGACAAGUGAGAAGUGUAUGCAAAAUUUACAAUAAUAGGCAUUUCACUAGUAUACAAUGUCAUACUUAGACGCCUGGUCCUGAACUGCCAUGUUAUUGUAAUUAACACGGGUUUCUUAUGCUUAAAGUUACCAGCCCCAAGGGAGUGGCGGUAGUCCGAGGCAAUCAAAAGUCAGUUCAGGAAUGUUAGAGGCACUCCACCAAAGACCUCAAAAAGAUAACAAUGCCAAUUGAAUUAUUGAAAAAGUUCGAGUCUCACACAAAGCUUGAGCCAGCAUAAAAAAAUGGUAUGAUUUGUUUCAUAAAGCUUUCCCAACCUUGAAAUUUAAAGAGUUCGGGUAAAUCAAAAUCCAAAUCAAAUAAAGAACUCCACUAAAUAUACCUGGGGAUGAAGAUAUUCCUUUUUACAGAGGUAGGCUUUUCCAAUGUUCUUGCUUUCUUAGCAAAUGGUUCAGAGAUGGUGAUUCCACUGCUCCUUUUCUUGUACUUUGAGAUUAAAACUUCUUCCUCACUAGAUUCUGAGCUACUGUGCUCUUUUUCAACGACUUUUUCUUUCAUUUUUCUAUUACUUGCGUAUUUAAUCCUUACUAUUUUUGCAAAGACAGAAGGACUAAAGAGAAAUGAAAUGAAUGUUUUGAGAAUAGAGAAAGCAAAUAGCUAAAAACAGAGGGUAAAAUGAAGUUUGAAAUUUUUAAGUUUUUAAAGAGGAAAAAGCAAAGAGGGAAACAUUUGCAAUCCAGAAAGGAAAGUGAGUUUAUCUAUUAAGCUCAUCUCGAAUUCACUCUACAUUAAACUUAGAACAAUUCUGGUACAAAGAGUCAUUAGUAGCACCGAAAAUUAUAUCAUUAAUAUAAAUCUGAACAACUACAAUAUCAUUCUUUUGAUUUUUAGUGAAUAAAGUAGUAUUUAUUUUUCCUCUUAUAAAACCAUUUUUCAAUAAAAACUUACUCAAACGUUCAUACUAAGUUCUUGGAACUUGUUUCAAACUAUAAAAUGCUUUUGAGAGUUUGAAAACAUGAUUUGAAAAUAUUGGAUCUUCAAAACCAAAUGGUUAUACUACAAAAACUUCUUCAUCAAUAUAUCCAUUUAAAAAUGCAUUCUUAAUAUUCAUUUGAAACAACAUAAAAAUUUUAAAAUAUGCAAAAACACAAAAUAUCCUAAUAGCCUCAAUUCUAGCAAUGGAAGGAAAGGUUUCAUCAAAAUUUAUUCCUUCCUCUUGGUUGUAUCCUUGAGCUACUAAUCUAAUCUUAUUUUUAAUUACAUUUCCAUUUUUAUCCGUCUUGUUUCUAAAAACUCAUUUUGUUAUAAUAAUAGAUUGGUUUUUGGCUUGGGAAUAAGUUGUCAAACUUUAUUCAUCUCAAAUUAAUUUAAUUCUUCUUGUAUUGUAAGAAUCCAACUUUCAUCAUUUUGAGUCUCGUCAUAAGAUUUAGGUUCUAAUUUUAAAAUAAAAGCAACAUUACUGAAAUAUAUAUCUUCUCAAUUGUCCUAUUGUCAUCAUUUUUUUAUUUGAGCUAUCAACGAUAUUCUCUUUUGGAUAGUAUUUGUGAUAUCUCUAAUCUUAUGGAAGAUUUUCAUGAACUUGAUCAUUAAUUUAUAAUUCUUCCACAUUUGAUUGUUGUUCCUCACUUCUUUGAUCUCCAUCAUUUGAAGUUUCUCCAUGAUGAUCAACUUGAGUUUCCACAUUUUGCUCAUUUAUAAUUUUCUCACUUGUUUUUUCUUUGCUAAAAAUCUAAUCAAAAUCAGCUUCACAAGUGUCUUUCUUUUUUAAAGCUAGAUUAGACUCAUCAAACAUCAUAUUAAUGAAUUCUUCAGCUACUAAGUUCUUUUUAUUAAAAAUUCUAUAAAUUUUGCUUGUAGAAGAAUAUUCAAGAAAAAUACUUUCAAAAAUCUUACCAUCAAACUUACCAAGAUACUCAUUAUUCAAAAUAUAACAUUUUCAUCCAAAGACAUAAAAAUAUGAUAUGUUUGGUUUCUUGCCUUUCUAUAACUCAUAGGGUGUUUUCUUCAAGAAAGCUCUUAUGGUUACUCUAUUGACAAUAUAACAAGAUGUAUUUAUAGUUUCAGUCUAAAAAUAUUUUGAAAGAUGAUUUUCAUUUAACGUAGCUCUAGCAAUUUUUUGCAAUAUUCUACUUUCUCUCUCAAUAACUCCAUUUUGUUUUAGAGUUAUUGAAACUGAAAAAUAAUGAAAUAUGUCAUGAUUUGAACAAAAACUAUUAAACAUAUGAUUUUCAAAUUUUUUUCCAUGAUCACUUCUCAAAGAUGCAAUAUAAUAACCUUUUUCAUUUUGAACACAUUUGCAAAAAGUUUUAAAAACAUUAAGCGUUUCAUCUUUAUGUGCCAAGAAGAAGACCUAAAAAAAUCUUGAAUAAUCAUUAACAAUUACAAAAACAUAUGAUUUUCCACCAAGACUUGUAGGAAUUAUUGGAUCAAAUAAAUCAAGAUGCAACAAUUCUAAAGGUCUUGACGUUAAAACUUCAUUCUUUGGUUUAAACGAAACUCUUGUUUAUUUCCCAUUAAACAAGCUUUACAUGGACGAUCUUUUUUAAAAAUCGAUUUUGGUAAGUUUCUAACUAGAUUUUUCUUUGAAAGUUUUGAAAUCAGAUGCAUGCUUGCAUGAUCUAAUUUUCUAUGCCACAACCAACUAUUAUCAUCAAACUAGCUAAGCAUUUUUUUUACUAUUUUUAAAACACUCAAGAUUAAGGGCUAAGAGCAAAAAGUGUUCGGACGAGACCCAAGGCUAAGAGGCUCAAAAGACGAUAAAGAGCAAAAGUGCUCGGACGAAUACCCAAGGCUAAGAGCCUGAAAAACAAUAAGAAGCAAAAGUGCUCGGACAAAAAUGCAGGGCUAAGAGCUUGAAAGGCGUCUAAGAGUCAAAGUGCUUGAACAAAGACCCAGGGCUAAGAGCUUGAAAGGUGACAAAGAUUAAAAGUAUUUGGAUGAGACCCAAGGUUAAGAGGCCUAGAAGACGACAAAUAGCAAAAGUGUUUAGACGAAUACCUAGGGCUAAGAGCCCAAAAAAUGACAAGGAGUAUAAAUGCUCAAACAAAGACUCAGAGCUAAGAGCCCGAAAAACAACAAAAAGCAAAAAUGUGUAGAUGAAAACCUAGGGUUAAGAGUCCAAAAGAUGACAAAGAACAAAAGUGCUCGGACAAAUACCCAGGGCUAAGAGCUUGAAAAUGACAAGAAUAAAAAGUGUUCAAAUAACUAAUAGCCCGGAAGGCAUCUAAGAGCCAAAGUACUUAGACAAAGACUCAGGGCUAAGAACCCGGAAGACAACAAAGAGUAAAAGUAUUCGGACGAGACCCAGAGUUAAGAGGCUCAAAAGACGACAAAAAGUAAAAGUGCUUGGAUGAAUACAUAGGACUAAGAGCCCAGAAAACGAUAAGGAGCAAAAGUGCUCAAACAAAGACCUAAGACUAAGAGCCCGGAAGGCGUCUAAGAGCCAAAGUGCUCGGACAAAGACCUAGGGCUAAGAGACCAAAAAACGAUAAACAUUUCUUAGGGUCAGGAAGAAUUACUAUAGCAAGAUACCCCCACACUUUUAAAUAUUUUAAAUUAAGUGUAUAACCUUUUCAAAGGUCAUAGAGUCUUUUAUUAGUUUUAUUAUAGAGUAUCCUAUGCUAUAGAUGACAAGCAGAUAAUAAAACUUCCCCCCUCAAAGGUUAUUAGGUGUAGAGGAACUUAUUAAUAAAGCAUUCAUCAUUUCUUUUAAUGUUCUAUUUUUUCUUUCUGCUACUCCAUUAGAUUCAUGUGAAUAAGGUGCAGUAAAUUCAUGAAUUAUUCCUUCUUUUUCACAAAAGUCAUUAAAUAAGAAAUAUUCUCCACCUCUAUCUGAUCUAAUUCUUUUUAUUUUCCUAUUUAAUUGAUUUUCUAUUUCAGCUUUAUAUAUUUGAAACAUAUCAAAUGUUUCAUUUUUGUUUCUAAGCAAUAUGCUUUCGUAUAUCUAGAAUAAUUAUCAUAAAAGUUACAUAAUAUUUUUUACCACCUCUAGUCAUAGUUUAUUUUAAAUUCUCCAAGUCUGUGUAUAUUAAGCUAAGCAAUUCAAAUUCUCUAUGUGUAGUUGGACAUGAUUUUUUGGUUGACUUAGAUUCUAUACAAAUCUCACAUUUAUUUAAACAUGUAUUGCAAUACCAUAUAUUAUACCAAUAUAUUGCAUUUUUUUAAUAUAAGAAGCACUAACAUGUCUUAAUCUAGCAUGUCAUAAAUUAAAAAAAUUAAGCAAAUAAGCAGAAUAAGGUGCAUUUUUCUUCAUUAUUAUAGAAAUUUUGAGAACAAAAUUACAAUAACUUUUUUCAACAAAGAUACCAUUUUUAGUUGGUACAAUUUUGUCUGACUCAAAAGACACCUUAAUCUCAGUUUUUCCUAAUAGAGCUAUAGAAAUUAAAUUAGCUUUCAUGUUAGGUAUAUGAAGUACUUUAUUAAGUACCAAAGUCUUGCUAUAUGUGAGUUUGAAAAGAACUUUCCCUUUACCAAGGACACUUACAGUCCUAGAAUCACCCAAAUAUACAUGUUCUUCUCAUUCCCCUACGGUAGUGUAGGAGGUAAACACAUUUCUGUUUGUACAGAUAUACCUAGUAGCACCAGAGUCUACCACUCAUUCUUGCACAUUAGCUAGAAGAAAAGUAUGAGAAAUGACCGCAACAAUAAUGUCAUCUCAUUCAACUAAAUUCACUUUUGAUUUAAAAGGACUAUUAUUUAUCACUCUUUUCCUGCAAUGAGAACACUUGCAGUCCUAGAAUCACCCAAAUACACAUGUUCUUCUCCUUCCCUCACGGUAGUGUAGGAGGUAAACGCAUUUCUGUUUGUACAGAUAUAUCUAGUAGCACCAGAGUCUACCGCUGUAAUACCCGGCUAGACUCCGGUAUCGGAAUUCCUACCGUCCGGUGGAAUCUCGGAUGUCGAAAGCCUCUAGUAGGGUAGAAACAUGUUUUCAUAAAAUGUUUUAAGGUAUUUCAUGGUUUUAAGUAUGAAAUUAAAUGAGUUUUUGCAUGAAAAGUCUUUGGAGGAAAACCCAGGUUCGGCCGCCGAAAGUCAAGUUCGGCCGCCGAACAUGCUUGCGUUUUGGAGGCACGUUAGGCCCCCGAAAGCAUGAGUGAGGGCAGUCCAGGUUUGGCCGCCGAAACCCAGGUUCGGCGCCGAACAUGGCAUGCAUGCGGAGGCACUUUCGGCCCCCGAACGUGGCCUGGCCAGCCACUAUAAAAGGGUCCCUUAGGUCCGCACGGGCGAGCUUUUUCUUCCCUGUUGUCGGCCAAGGUGAGUCUCCGCCACCCCUCCCUCGAUCUUGAGUGUUUUCCUUAGAUCUUCCAUGAUUUUCACGGGUUUUAACUUCUGUUUUGAAGAUCUGUGAGUAAAGAGCAAGUUUUGGGUACUUGGAGGUUCAAAGAGCUCAAACUCUCCAUCUCCAAGCUAGGAUCGCCUUUCCUCUCGUUUCUUCAAGAGGUAAGCUCGGAUCCACCCUUGUUAUGUGUUUUAAACAAGCAUUAAGUUGUUUUAUGGGUAGAGAUGCAUGUUUAGGCUUGUUGAUGAGUUUAUAGGUUUUGAUGUUUUGAUGAACAAUGUAUGUUGAUUUUUGUGUGUUUGAAGUGUUGUAGUUGGGGUAUAUGCUAGUUUGAGACCCCUAGGUGUAAUGUAUGAUAUGUAUGCAUGUUUUAGAACAAGUUUAUGCAUGAUUGGUGAGUUUGGAGGCAAAAAUGCAUAAGGGAGCCAAGUUUCUGCCCUUUGGCAGAAACCAGGUUCGGCAGCCGAAGGAACUUUCGGCCGCCGAACAUGGCUGGGGAGGCAGGCCUUUCGGCUGCCGAAGUUGCCCCCGAAAGGAGACUUUCGUCUCUGUCUCGGACUUUCGGCCGCCGAAGGUGCCGCCGAACAUGCAUGAGUUUCGCCUCUGUCUGGGAGUUUCGGCCGCCGAAGGUGCCGCCGAACCUGCCUGACUUUCGGCUCUGGAGGGACUUUCGGCCGCCGAACCUGCCGCCGAAAGUGCCCUGUCCAGCCAUUUCUUGCAUGUUUUUAUGUAGUUGUUUUAUGAUGUUUUAGGGGGUUUUUGGGGAGUAUACUAGAGUUAUGUUUAUGUAUGUUUGGUCCCUCAUUGGAGUCCACCUGUGUAGGUUCGGACCCGAGGAACCGAGGACCCCAGCAGUGAGCCAGCUGCUACAGAGUUUGUCAGAGCUAGCCAGAGGUGAGUGGAAUAAACCUUAAGUUUUAAAAUGAAUGAACUAUGAAUUUUGAGCAUGAUCCAUGCAUCAUGAAUGCCAUGAGAUAUAGUAGGUUGUUUGCAUUAGUAUUCACGAAUAUGUUGCAUUGCAUUUAUGAUGUUGAUGUGGAUUGGUCAUUGGAUGAUCCUUUAGUCCUCAUAUGAUAUGAUGAUGUUAUGGCAUGAUGUGGUAUGGAAGUCCAGGUUGUACCCAUUCUACGUCCCUGGCACAGUUGGACUGUAUGAUAUGUUAUGUUAUGUUAAGAGAAAGACCGGUUGUACACAUUCUACGUCCCGGCACAGUUGGACUAUGUAGAGGACUAUUGGUGACAAUACCAUCCGAGAUGUGAUUUGUUGUGAUGUGUUGCAUUACAUAAUGGCAUGAAAUUUUAAUAUAUGUUUUCACUAUUCUGCUCACUGGGCUUUGUAGCUCACCCCUCUCCCCUAACCCCAGAUGUGCAGGUACAGGGUAGACCAUGAGGUUAGCCAGAGUUUUGAAGUAUGUUAUGUAAUAGUUAGAUUGUGGACAUGACAAUUGUACUAUGAUGUAAUGUAAGAGAUUACAGUAUGUUAUGUAAAGAGGUAUAUUGAGGUUAUAGAUGUGCUUGACCCUAUGAGUUUUGUAAUCCCUUGUUAAUGCAUGAUCUUAGUUAUAUUGAUGAUGCAGAUGAAAGCCAACUCAUCUCAUGUUGUAUCGCCCGUUGGGGCAUUGAUGAGAUCCCACAGAGGGAUCAUGAUUAUGAUCAUGACUAUGUACAUGUAUGUUCAGGUUGAGUUGGAUGUUUAAAGGAAAAGUUUCAAUUUUUAUGCAUGUUGUUGAUCAUGUAUGGGAUUAUACAGGUUUACAAGUUAUAUGUCAGCCUUGCUACGGGUCCCGGCGGCCUUAAGCCGAUCUGGAUCCUAGCGCCGGUAGGGGUCCGAUUUUCGGGUCGUUACAACCGCCCAUUCUUGCACAUUAGUUAGAAGAAAAGUUUGAGAAAUGACCUUAACAAUAAUGUCGUCUCAUUCAACUAAAUUCACUUUUGAUUUAGAGGGAUUAUCAUUUAUCACUAUUUUCCUGCACUGAGGUGCAUGAUGACCCGGCUUACCACAUACAAAACAAUGUUCUUUCUUUUUAAAGAUGAGAUUAUUAAACUUAGGUUUGUUAUUAGGUUUCUUAUUUUCGUACCUAUUAUUUGAUUUCUGCACUUUUUCUUGUACAAGAUUUGCCUUUGUAGCUAGCUCUUUACUUUUUGCAGCUUUUAGUUCCCUCCUGUUUGUAUCUUCAAUGAUGAUGUGGGUGAUGAGAUCUGACAGUGUCAACUGCUUGUGCUUGUGUUUCAAUUGUUGCUUGUAGUCACUCCAAGAAUUUGAUAAUUUUUCUAUCAGCAGUCCAGCCACAAAUUCAUCUUAUAGAAUGAUGUCAAAUUAUAUACCGCUUAUUGAUUUGUGCAAAUCGCUGGUCAAAUCCACCAUCUGAGAAUGGUUCAGUCAAUUUGCGGGCUUGGGCCAUUCCUUGCUUCUGUGCAGUAUGAUCAUCUGAUAGGUUUGCUUAAAUCACUAGUCAAGUCCAUCAUCUAAGAAUGGUUAAGUCAAGUAGCGGGCUUGGGCCAUUCUUGGAUUCUGUGUAAUAUGAUCAUCCGAUAAGUUUGCCCAAAUUGCUGGUCAAGUCAAUUUCUGUAAUACCCGGCUAGACUCCGGUAUCGGAAUUCCUACCGUCCGGUGGAAACUCGGAUGUCGGAGAUCUCUAGAAGGGUAGAAUCAUGUUUUCAUGUUUUAAUAGUUUUAAGUAUGAAAUUAAAUGAGUUUUUGCAUGAAAAGUCUUUGGAGGAAAACCCAGGUUCGGCCGCCGAAAGUCAAGUUCGGCCGCCGAACGUGCAUGCGUUUUGGAGGCACGUUAGGCCCCCGAAAGCAUGAGUGAGGGCAGUCCAGGUUCGGCCGCCGAAAGUCAAGUUCGGCCGCCGAACAUUUCAUGGAUGCGGAGGCACAUUCGGCCCCUGAACGUAGCCUGAGCAGCCGCCUAUAAAAGGGGCACUUAGCCGAAAUGGGCGAGCUUUCUCCCAUUUUCGGCCACAGCAAGCUUCCGACCUUCCUUUUGCAAAUCUAGUGUUUUUCCUCCAAAUCCCCACCAUUUUUCUUGAGUUUUAAGCUUGCAUUGAAGGUUUUGAACUGUUGAAACAAGUUUUGGAGCUUUGGGAACUCAGGAGCUCAUUUUCGUAGAUCUCCAAGUUUAGGUCGUCUCCCUCUCGAUCUUCAAGAGGUAAGAGCCGAUCUUAAGCUCCUCAUGUGUUUUAAGUAAGUUUUAAGUGAUUUUAUGGGGUAGAAUGACAUGUAUAGGGUUGUAUGAGUUUUUAAGCAAAUGUUAGGUUUUAUGUGAUUCUUGAACAAUGUGGCAUGUUUGAGUAUGCUUGAAGUGUUGUAGUUGGGGCAUUUGUUUGUUUGAGGCCCCUAGGAACUUGUAUGCAUGAUUUAACUGAGGUAUAUGCAUGAUUGGUGAGUUUGGAGGCGAAAANNNNNNNNNNNNNNNNNNNNNNNNNNNNNNNNNNNNNNNNNNNNNNNNNNNNNNNNNNNNNNNNNNNNNNNNNNNNNNNNNNNNNNNNNNNNNNNNNNNNNNNNNNNNNNNNNNNNNNNNNNNNNNNNNNNNNNNNNNNNNNNNNNNNNNNNNNNNNNNNNNNNNNNNNNNNNNNNNNNNNNNNNNNNNNNNNNNNNNNNNNNNNNNNNNNNNNNNNNNNNNNNNNNNNNNNNNNNNNNNNNNNNNNNNNNNNNNNNNNNNNNNNNNNNNNNNNNNNNNNNNNNNNNNNNNNNNNNNNNNNNNNNNNNNNNNNNNNNNNNNNNNNNNNNNNNNNNNNNNNNNNNNNNNNNNNNNNNNNNNNNNNNNNNNNNNNNNNNNNNNNNNNNNNNNNNNNNNNNNNNNNNNNNNNNNNNNNNNNNNNNNNNNNNNNNNNNNNNNNNNNNNNNNNNNNNNNNNNNNNNNNNNNNNNNNNNNNNNNNNNNNNNNNNNNNNNNNNNNNNNNNNNNNNNNNNNNNNNNNNNNNNNNNNNNNNNNNNNNNNNNNNNNNNNNNNNNNNNNNNNNNNNNNNNNNNNNNNNNNNNNNNNNNNNNNNNNNNNNNNNNNNNNNNNNNNNNNNNNNNNNNNNNNNNNNNNNNNNNNNNNNNNNNNNNNNNNNNNNNNNNNNNNNNNNNNNNNNNNNNNNNNNNNNNNNNNNNNNNNNNNNNNNNNNNNNNNNNNNNNNNNNNNNNNNNNNNNNNNNNNNNNNNNNNNNNNNNNNNNNNNNNNNNNNNNNNNNNNNNNNNNNNNNNNNNNNNNNNNNNNNNNNNNNNNNNNNNNNNNNNNNNNNNNNNNNNNNNNNNNNNNNNNNNNNNNNNNNNNNNNNNNNNNNNNNNNNNNNNNNNNNNNNNNNNNNNNNNNNNNNNNNNNNNNNNNNNNNNNNNNNNNNNNNNNNNNNNNNNNNNNNNNNNNNNNNNNNNNNNNNNNNNNNNNNNNNNNNNNNNNNNNNNNNNNNNNNNNNNNNNNNNNNNNNNNNNNNNNNNNNNNNNNNNNNNNNNNNNNNNNNNNNNNNNNNNNNNNNNNNNNNNNNNNNNNNNNNNNNNNNNNUGGACAUGACAAUUGUAUUAUGAUGUAAUGUAAAAGUGUUUUAAGUUAUGUUAUGUAAUUUGAAUAUUGAGGAUAGAGUUGUGCUUGACCAAUACAGAUUGUUAAUCCCACUUGUAUGUACAUGGUCUUUUUGAUAUGAGAUAUGAGGUUAUGUUUCAGCCAAGCUUAUGUAUGAUGAGAUACCCCAUUGGAGCAUUUUGAUGAGGGCUCCAGUGGAGGUUUAUGUUAUGUUUAUGUUUAUGUACAGGUUGAGCUUGGUUGUUAUAUGAGAAUGAUUACAGGUUAUGUCAGGCUUGCUACGGUUCCCGGCGGCCUUAUGCCGAUCUGGAUCCUAGCGCCGGUAGCGGUCCAAUUUCCGGGUCGUUACAAUUUCAGCGCUUUUAAACCACUUUUUAUUAAAUCUUAUUCUCUUUUUGCUUUUCUGCAAAAUAUAACAAAAAAUACAAAAUUAGUCAGAAAAAUACUCAAUUUAAUGAAAAGCAUAGUAUGAAAAAUGAGUUGAAAUUAUGUUCGAUAACCUAAUUUAUUAAGAACAUUUAAGAUGAGGUGAUUAACGAAACUACCUGUAUCCACCAAGACUCGCCUCACCUCAUACCUGUUUAGAUGGAUAUUGAUGACUAGCGGGUCAUUUUGAAAAAAUUCCAUCACCUUGUCUGCAGGUCCGAACCUUACUUCCUGUUUGGCCCAUGGUUCCUACUCAACUGACAUGAUGUCUUCUGCGACACAUUUAUUUUUUCCUUGCCAUCGUUGGGUCCUCCUGCAAUUACUUGUAUAACCCCUACAACUAUCAGGGGUAGUUUCAGGAGUUUUUACCUCAAGUUUGGGCCUUCUCUUUUCUCUAUUCUUUCUAGCAAACUUUCAAAGUGUGUUAUCCCUUAUUAAUCUCUCGAUCUUGUCUUUCAACUUCUGGCACUCCUCCGUUGUAUGCCCAUAGUCUUCGUGAAAGCAACAGUACUUGGUCCUGUCUCGCCUUUCGGUACUCUCAGGGUUGAGCUUGGGAGGCCACCUGACUUCCUUAUUAUUUUUCUGAUCCACAUUAGAAUACGUGUUCGUAAUUCAUUCAAUAGAGUAUAAUUCUUAUACUUACUUUAGUCAUCCCUUCUUCGAGGGACUGGAUAACUUCUGUGGUCUCUUUCAUAUCCUCGCCUCUUUAGAUUUUGAUUUUGCUUUUGACUCGUCCUUUUGUCCUCUCUCAAUGCUUGGACUUCGUCAUCUAGCCUGAUGUACUUUUCGGCUUUGUCCAUUAGCUGUUGGUAUGUGGCGGCUGGGUUCUUAAUUAGGAAAUCAUGAACUUGACGUUGCGUGUUCCUUUCAUCAAUGCUUCACAUGCUAUCUCAUGAUUUAAUUCCUCCAUAUAUAUUGCUUCUGCAUUAAACCGUGAGAUAAAGCUCAUCAAAGACUCGCCCUCUCCUUGGCGGAUCUUUCACAAGUCAGAUGAGAGUUUUUUAGGAGGUAUACAAGUAAUAAACCUGGAUUUAAAUAACAUAGCGAAUUGUGUAAAGUUUUGAAUUAAAUCUGGGCUCAGAUGUUGGUACCAUUUCUGAGCCAAACUUGUGAGUGUUAAUGAAAACACUCGGCACAACACGAAAUCGUUGACAUCGUGAAGCUGUAUAGUCAUUCUAAAGAUCGUCAGGUGACUUCUAGGAUUUAAUGUUCCGUCAUAUUUGCUCAAGCCUAGUAGCUUAAACUUAGUUGGGAAAGUUUUUGCUAAGAUCUCUUCUGAUAGGGGCGAGGCAUCGUCCAGGCCAUAGUUCUCCUCCUGCUCCUUCUGGUACCUUUGAAUAGCCCGUACCGGCUUUCAGUCGACGUCCUUCGGAGCAUCGUCUAGUGACUUUUCUUCUUCGAACUUAGCCUUCCCCUUGGACCGCGUCUGGAUCGCCUCUGUCCGAGUCCUUAGGAUAUCAACAGAGGCUUCCUCCAUUCCCUUGGGAGCCAUGAAUGAUGCCUCCUCCCAAGCUUUGUAUUGCUCAAGAAUAGCCUGCAACCUAUAUAUUGGAGCAUUUGUUCAUUGUUCAGAUUAUUGAGAUAUGCUUCGUUGACCAUAGAAAGUGUGUUUUGUCCACUGCUAGGAGCGAAAGAAAUAAUAGCACCCUCAUUGGUAGCAACCUUAGCAGCAGCUCGUGAAUUGUUGGCCAUUUCAAGCGAAAGAAAACAAAGAUUUCUUUUUAAGAGAAAGGGGAUAAGAGACUGGUUUUAAUCCAAAUGAACAUAGAGAAUUUAAUGGAUUAUCCUGACAAUGAAACCAAAUGAUGUGACCGAAAUAAAGUUGUGUUGCAAUUGGUCAACCUGAAAGAAAGAGAAUGUGAAGUGGUUGGUGCCUAUGGUGGCCACUCUGACGUUCAAGUCAGUAAAAUGAAUAAAAGGGCAAAUGUAAGGAAUGGCUUAGAACUCAAGAGUAGUUGUGUAAGAAUGCGUACCUUUGUAUUUGCAAUCAUUAGUUUUUAUAUUGUAAGAAGAUAGAGUUAAUUAUAGUAUUUUCUGAAAAUCUGGUUGGUGCUGGCUAAUUGAUAAGGGAUCCCACCAGCUAAUUGAUCAGGGAUCCCGUGAUUACAGGCAUAAUAGGGAUCUGCUGGAUUGUGCCUGCUAAAGAUAACUUUAUGUGAAGACUAGACCUCUUCAAAGGAGGGCGAGUUUUAAUGAAGAACUGUGUGCUGCAGUGUCUAGGUCUUCCUUUCCACGGUUGAGACCGCAUAUCGGCAUAUGAGAACUCUUGCCACAUGGCUCUGCUUUAUGAUGACAGUCAUGACUUAUUUUGAGUGAUUAUCAUGUUACAUCAAACCUAAAUGCUUUAAUUUUUAUUCCUAUCCUUUAGAUAAACGUUUCUCUUUAUAUUCAAUUAAAUAUGAGAUUAUAAAAAAGCAACAGAUCCAUUAAAAGAACUCUAAAUUAAUUAUCCUAACUAUUAUAAAAAAAAAAAAGUCAAUUUCAUCAAAGUUAAAGAAGCAAAAUAAUAAGGGGUAAAAAUAAAAUAAAAUCAUAACUAAACUUGCUAUAAAUCUUCGUCCUAGGAAAAGAUUAAGGUUGACACUAUGAUUUUAACAUUAGAUUUGAGUUUUUAUAUCAUUCUAAGUAGAUUUUUAAAAUUAAAAAAAAAAAAAGAAGGAAAAGGAUGAAUUGAUUUUUUUUUUUUUUUAAUCUAUAGAUCGAAUUUUGGUCACCAUGAUUCCCAUAUAUAUCUUGUCAACCUAUUUAGUGAGUGGUAUGCAAAGAAGAAGUGAUUAGAUUGGGAUGGGUGGAAAGAUGAUUAAUUAAGAAGAAAUAUUUAAGACUUUAAAAAGAAAGAAUUAAUUGUAUAUAUAUAAAAAGAAAAAUAAAUAGUUGGGGAUUUCAGGAGAAGAGAGAAAUUUUAGGAGAAAAAUGACUUUUACUUAAUCAUUAAACUGUACACUGAUCAUGAAUUGCAUGCAAGUCACUAGCGUCCCCAACUUAGAGUUUCUCCUUGCAAUUGGUGCAAGUCAUCCAUAAAGCAUUCACCACUACAAUUUGAAUCUAAGGAAUUUUUUUUGCCAUCCAUAAUUCUUCUAAAUGUAUCCCCUAAAGUUGGUGAGAGUUGUUUUUGUUGGAUCAAAUGGAGCCCCUACGUAUGUAUCUUGUCUUCACUUAAAUGAGACACUCGCGAUCCUAUCAAUCUUAAUUAUAAAGAAAUAGAAAGUUUAGCCUUUAGCAACUUUUUGAAGCAUAUUUUAAUAUAUCUUCAGUUGAAUAAAUAUAUUUUUAUAAAAUAACAGUUCUAUCUUAAAUAUUAAGAGAUGUAGUUUUCAAUUUGAAAGUCAAUAUUCAACCAUAAAAACCAUUCUCUUUGCACGUCAAUAUAUAGCAUCUCUGUAAUAUCAACUAGUUUUUUAUAAUGAAGUGCCUCAUCAUUUGUGGUAGAAAAUGUUCUCUCACUACUAAUACUUUUUCAUAGCUUGAAUUGAGGGUAUCUGUCAUGCCAAAACCUAGUCCCAAAAAAAAAAAAAAACUAUAGAGCAAGAAACUUGUUUCCACUUUGUUUUCACAAGCUUUGCCUUCAUGACAACUUUUGCUACUCUUUUCAAGAUCAUAAUCAUUUGAAAUAAGCUAUUUGUUAUGGUUUCUGUGCUUCUCUUGUUACCAACUUAAUCGAACUCCUUCGCUUUACUUGGCAUUUCGAGCAACCCGAGUGGCAAAAACAUCCAAAACCAAAGAUAAUGCCGACACAAGCACCUGAAACUAUUUUGCCACCAGAUCGACUACAUUAACAUCCAUAGAUGAGCAUCUCCUCAACUACAAUUUUAUAGCAAAUACAGAACCUUGUGCAAUGUCAAAUAAAGCUCUUACAAGCUUAGAACAAUAGAAUCAUGUAGGCUUGAACCAAUAACAUGUUGAAUUUCCUCAAGGAAUAGGAGAAGGUUGCUGACUACGUGAAUCAGUUUAUGCUUAUUUCGUUCAUUGGUAGAGAAAUAUUUGGACUUGGACUCGCAAAUUUAGAGAGCUAGACUGGUUGGCAAGGCAAGUAAUAUCAUUGCUUCUUAGGGGUGUAAACGUACUGAGCUGAACCUAGUUUAAAGAACUCAAUCUUGAUUCAUUAAGAUUCUUUUGAGUUCAAACUAAACUCUAAUUUUAUUAAUUACGAAUUCGAGCCGAGUAUUAAUAAGUUCAAACAUGACUCUUUUAGCAAAUAAAAUUAGAUGAAUCGAGUUUUUAUUAAAUUUAGUUUCAAAUAGUUAUGAAUAAUUUAAUUUAUUUACAUGUAUAAUGAGUUUUAAUUUAAAAUUUAUAAGUUUAAACUAAAUAAUUUUAGUUAAAUAAGUAUAUGUAUAUAAAUUAACUAGCAAACUUGUAAAGAACGAACUCUUAAAUUUUAAUGAUCCGAAUAUCAACAAGUUUUAAGAAUAUAAUUAAACUAUAUAGAGUUAAAUUUUAAAAAAUUUAAAUUUGUCUCAUGAAAAUAUAUGCAGGGUUUAGCUUAGUUCUGUCAUGAUAUUAAUUUCAAUUUGUUUAACAAGAUUGUUCACGAGGCUGUUCACGAGUCUACUCAUGAAUAUAAAGACGAGGCAAACUCACCAGUCUUAACAAGCCAACUAUUAUGUUGCUUAAUAUACGAGCUUAAAAAUUAAGCUCAACUUUGACUUAUUUAUAAAUCGAAUUGAGCCUAAUCAAGAUUUAUCAAAUCGAAACUCAAAUAGCUCACCAACUGUAACGACCCGGAAACCGAUACCCCUCUGUAACGGCCCGAACCGCCACCGGCGAGAGGAUCCAGAUCGGCUUAAGGCCGCUGGGACCCGUAGCAAGCCAAACAUACCUCCUAUCACCUGGUCAAAUCCCAUACAUGAUCAAAACUUUAACAUAAAAACUGGAACAUCUGAUGUAAAUACCGAACUUGACCUGUAUGCAACAUAACUGGAAACCUAAAAGAACCCCAUACUAGAGCUCUCAACAAAACUCUAGCUGGGUCAACAUAACAUACAUCAAGCCGGAGUCACAUCAAAAGAACUAGAACCUAACCUGUGCAUGCAUCAAACCACAAACAUAAGACCUCCUCUAGGGUCCUCAUCCAUUACCAUAGCGUGGUACACAACACAUGCCACAAGAUUAGUUCAAACUCAACUCCACAUUAAACCCUAUCAUGCAUAUCUACCCAAACACAUACAUCAAAUCUCCUUAAAACUUACUUAAAACUCAUUAAAACAUAAAGAAAAGCAGAGAUCUACACUAACCUCUUGGAGAUCGAGGGUUGGUGUGACCCGAACCUUGGAGAUGUGGAGGAAACUAGCUUCAGGGUCUCCAAGCUCCAAAUCCUAGAUCCAAGCUUAAAACUCUUCAAAACCAAGGAUAAAACUCAUAACACUUUGGAAAGUCAAAGGAAAACUUGAAAUCGACCAAGGGAGGACAUGAACUCACCUUAGCCCGAGAAUGGGGAAAAAAAACUCGCCCAUUUUCGGUCUGAGGCCUUAUAUAGGCGACCGGCUUCGGCGGCCAAACCGGCACCCUAAAGUCCCCCAUGUUCGGCGGCCGAACCUGGUUUCUGCCCAACUCAACUUUCGGAAGCCAAAAGUCCAUCCGAAACCAUCUCAUGUUCGGCGGCCGAACAUCACCUUCGGCGGCCGAACAUCACCUUCGGCGGCCGAACCUGGGUUCUUCCUCCUUGGCCUUUUCUCUUCAAAACUCAAUUUUCUUUCAAUUAAAACCCUUAAAAUCAUUUGAAAAUAUUUUUAGAAAACACAUUAUACCCUUCUAGAAAGAUCCAACACCCUAGAUUCCGCCGGAAGGCAGGAAUCCCGAUGCCGGAUUCUAGCCGGUAUUACAUUCUUCCCCCCUUCAAGAACAUUCGUCCCCGAAUGUUCCACAAACAUACAUACAUAAAAACAUGGCAUCAAUCAUACAUGAACAAGUAAGCAAACCAGCAAGCAAAACCUAAAAAUCUCUCUCCUGAAAGAGAGACACAGGCACUACUGGAGUAAAACUCCCGGGUCUCCAAAAGAAACACCUUAGCAGUACCCAACCUACUCCUGAACUCCACUGGCUUCCGCUGUGCUACUCUGAUCCUUACUCUUCUCUUCUCUUCUCAUCUUUACUAACAGGCUUCUUCUCACUGCUAACCCAACACUAACUCUAACUCUCAUAGGUAGUACCCGGAUUUCAGAUCUAUCUUGGAAAACAAACAGCUCCUACUAGCUGUCCCAAUAAAUCAUCCAUCCUGCAUGGGAAUACCUGCCCUUGGUAGUGACCUUGGUCAACUACUUACAGUCGUUACCAGUCUCAAGGGUCUACCCUUCGUUUCCCACAACAACACUGGAACACUCCAGGGUAAGGUACUAGGUCGGAUAAAACCCUUAUCUACCAAGCCUCACCUCUAUUUUGACAACUCUCAACUACAGGUGCCAUUCUAUAGGGAAGGACAGAAAUGGUUCUGCGUCCAGACACCACUCCUAUACCCAACUCCAACUCCCUGACAGAUGGUAAACCUGACAACUCGCCUGGGAAGACAUCUAAGAACUCUCUAACCAAAGACACUGAGGUUGGUUCCCGGACCUGACUGCAAAACUCUCAAACAAGAGCUAGAACCCUCUGACAACCCCUCCUACGUACCCUACGAACCUGAUAGGCUGACAUCAAACCUCUAGGCAUCCCUACUAUGUUCUCUCAGAAGAAAACCUCUGACCCAUUCAGUCCUCUGAACUUGACUACCUCGUCUCUGCAGACCAAGAUAGCACCACGAGCAGAAAAACCCAAUCCAACCCUAAACUGACGUCCAGACAGUUAAGUCUAGGACCUCAAAGUCGGGUGGAAGGCAUUUACCCUCAACUGUCACAGAACUGGACCGGCAGACUGACUCUGCCACAGAUGGAUCACACGAGAGUCUACUGACCAAAGAGAACACUCUAGCUCAGAAGCUAUCAACUCAACCUCUUGACGGCUCCUAGAGCAACUAAAGAAAGAGAAAAACACUAGGGUUCACAAAAACAUACACAUCAGAACAUUCAAAAGUGAGCGUACCUGACACCACCAUGUUCGAUGUGUCUGCCUCUUGCUGAGCUUGGGUGAAGAUCCGAGCUGGAGCUGACAGACCUUCUCCACGGGAACCUUCAGAAAGAAAGGCUAACUCUCUUCCUCUACCUCGACCACUACCUGAGACAUGGCUAGAGCUACUGGCUGAGCCGCUCUACCUGAAGCUGCUUGCUGGGACGGAGCCAACCUGGGCGCAGUGGGACACUCACGUGCUAUGUGCCCCUCCUGUCCGCACCUGUAACAUACGUCAGUCCCAUAACGGCAGACUCCCUUGUGCGGUCUACCGCACUUCAAGCAUCUUGAACUGCCUGAGCCAGAGCUUGAGCCACCAAAACCCAGACUAGCCUUCAACCGAUUCCACAACUUGCUCUUCUUUGACCUUCUCAGGCCUCUGUUCCCCUUUUUAGUGGUGUUUCCCCACCUUUUAUCUCUUGAGGCAGCAGUACUUAGAGUGGAGGGAUCAAUCCCCCCUGAACUUGAGAUCCUGGAAUCCUGAGUCUGAGCAUCCUCCUGAGAAUCUCCCAUGCCUUCCUCUGGCACUCUGAUUCCCAAACUAACAUCCCUUCUCUGAACCUCCAACUCUACUUCCCUCAUACUAGCUGACAUCCUUCUUGGAGCCAUUCCUUCUCUGCUUACAUCAAAAGACCUUCCAGGGUCCCUUGAUGUUCCCCAUCUGCUGACUCCCCAUGACUGCGCUCUUGGCAGAGCAGGAGGAAAGGUGUCCAUACCUUCCCUCUCAGAUGGAACUCCAGUCGAUUCCACAGAUCGAUGGGCACCUCGCAUUCUGGCUCCUCUGAAGAACAACACACAAGCAUACAAACAUUAGCAUCAUACGGUUCAUAUGAAAACACAUGAACCUACACAUACAUGCAUAACAUGUCAUACAUAACAUUAAUGCACAUGCAUAAACUCAUGGCAUUUCACAUCAUCAAACAAGACAGGACUCAACAUCCUAUCCUAGUGGACAUGAUUCUUCCUAUUGUGCUUGCCCUUCUAUGACCUCUAAGCCAACCUCUUUCCGAUGUGCAACACACCGUACUCUCGAGGCCCAAAGCUCUGAUACCAUUCUGUAACGACCCGAAAAUCGAUACCCCUCUGUAACGGCCCGAACCGCCACCGGCGCUAGGAUCCAGAUCGGCUUAAGGCCGCCGGGACCCGUAGCAAGCCAAACAUACCUCCUAUCACCUGGUCAAAUCCCAUACAUGAUCAAAACUUUAACAUAAAAACUGGAACAUCUGAUGUAAAUACCGAACUUGACCUGUAUGCAACAUAACUGGAAACCUAAAAGAACCCCAUACUAGAGCUCUCAACAAAACUCUAGCUGGGUCAACAUAACAUACAUCAAGCCGGAGUCACAUCCAAAGAACUAGAACCUAACCUGUGCAUGCAUCAAACCACAAACAUAAGACCUCCCCUAGGGUCCUCAUCCAUUACCAUAGCGUGGUACACAACACAUGCCACAAGAUUAGUUCAAACUCAACUCCACAUUAAACCCUAUCAUGCAUAUCUACCCAAACACAUACAUCAAAUCUCCUUAAAACUUACUUAAAACUCAUUAAAACAUAAAGAAAAGCAGAGAUCUACACUAACCUCUUGGAGAUCGAAGGUUGGUGUGACCCGAACCUUGGAGAUGUGGAGGAAACUAGCUCCGGGGUCUCCAAGCUCCAAAUCCUAGAUCCAAGCUUAAAACUCUUCAAAACCAAGGAUAAAACUCAUAACACUUUGGAAAGUCAAAGGAAAACUUGAAAUCGACCAAGGGAGGACAUGAACUCACCUUAGCCCGAGAAUGGGGAAAAAAAACUCGCCCAUUUUCGGUCUGAGGCCUUAUAUAGGCGACCGGCUGAGCCACCUUCGGCGGCCAAACCAGCACCCUAAAGUCCCCCAUGUUCGGCUGCCGAACUUGAGGUUCGGCAGCCGAACCUGGUUUCUGCCCAACUCAACUUUCGGAAGCCAAAAGUCCAUCCAAAACCAUCUCAUGUUCGGCAGCCGAACAUCACCUUCGGCGGCCGAACCUGGGUUCUUCCUCCUUGGCCUUUUCUCUUCAAAACUCAAUUUUCUUUCAAUUAAAACCCUUAAAAUCAUUUGAAAAUAUUUUUAGAAAACACAUUCUACCCUUCUAGAAAGAUCCAACACCCUAGAUUCCGCCGGAAGGCAGGAAUUCCGAUACUGGAUUCUAGCCGGGUAUUACACCAACAAUUUAGUUAUUACACCUCUAAUGGUUCUAAUGGUUCUAUACUCUCUAGUAGAGUUAAUGCUGGUGUGAGUACAAGUGAAGCCAUAAACACCUUACAAUGUUUAAAAUUCUCUCCAAACCCUAAAUAAAACAAAACCUAACCUCUUCAAUAUUUUUCCCAGCAGCCCCUUCACCCAUAUUUCCCUCUUAUUAUUUUCUAAUCCACAAAAUUAACUUUAAAUAUUCAAAACUCUCAACUUCAAAUCUUUUAUUUAAAAUUUUCUUCUCUUAAAAGUUAUUCGAUCAUUAUUUAAUUUAUUUUUAUAUAUUAUUUUUUAUUUUUAAAAAGUAAUAUAUAUUUUUAUUUAUUUUACUUAAUUAUUAAUAUAUUUUGUAAUUGAAAUUCUAUGUUAAACUGGUUAAUUUAAAAAAAAAAUUUUAAAAUUUUAGAAAAAAAAGUUUUAUGUGUAAUGUUUAGAUUAUUCAAUGGUUUCAUAAAAUAUUUAAAUUUAGAAAAAAAAAACAAAUGUUAAAUCAAGAAAAUGUAAUUUUAAUAGGUAAUAGGUUGUAUUAUUUAAAUUUAAAAAACAUUUUAAUAUAUAUCAAAUAUUGUUUUUAUGAGUAAUAAAUUAGUCUAUUUAAAUUUAGAAAAAUUGAAUUUUAAAUACUGGUUAAAUAUGAUUAUUAUUUUUAGUUAUAUGUAAAAUUUGUCUUAAGUGAUACUAAAUUAUAGGCAUGUAAUUAUCUUAUAAAAAAUAUAAUUUUAUUAUGUAAAAUCAAUAUCAUCAGUGAAAAAAAUAUUAGGGAAUGUCAUUUGAACAUGAUCUAUUGAAGGAUUGAUCAUGAUUUAUGUUAAAAGAAAUAUAUUUAUAAAUAUAGAUAAUGAUACUAUUAUAAAUAAAUUUCUAAGUAAUGAAAAAAAUAGGGAAAAUUACUUUUUAGUCCCUGAGGUUUAAAGUAAUUAACACUUCUGUCUCUCUAUUUUGGCGAUCCAACACUUAAGUCCCUCAUUUUCUCUUCCGUCCAAAUUCGUAGUCCUUCCGUCCAUUUAAACCGUUUGGUCAAAGAGUCAAAAGUGAGAGGUGAUAAUUUUUUCCAGAAAUACCCUUCUCUUAAUGUGAAAUUCCUAUUUUUUUUCUCUUUCAUGUUUUUUCUAGUUACAGAUUUCAUAUGUUCUCUAAUUAAGAAGAAGAAGAAGAAGAGGAAGAAGAGACAUUUGGAUUUAGGUUUAGUGAGGGUUAAUUUUGUCAAUUCACGUGUCCCAAACGGUUAUUUUGGAUGGAAGGACUACGGAUUUGCACAGAAAAUAAAGUGAGGGACUUAAGUGUUGGGUCGCCAAAAUAGAGGGACAAAAAUGUUAAUUAUGUUAAAUCUCAGGGGCUAAAAAGUAAUUUUCCAAAAAAAAAAUAAAGGCUCUUGCAAUUUAAUUAAAAUAUAUAAAUUAAUUAUUAUAAUUCUAUUUUAUUUUUUUAUAUUAUAAUAAUAUAUAAAUUAAUAAUUAUAAUUCUAUUUAAUUUAAUAUUAUUUUUUAAAAAAAUUCAUAAUAUAUCUUGAUAUUUAAUAAUUGCAAAAUUAAUAAAAAAUGUUCUUUCCUUAUGGACAUAGGAGGACAUCCUAAUAUUAAUGGAGAUGCAGAAAAUGGACAGUGACGUGUCCGCUAUCUUUGCUUUCCUCACAUCGCAGCAAAACAGACGUCACGCUCUUCCUCCAUUUCUCUCUCGCGCAGAGCUAAGUUAUGCUCUUCUUCUCGGAAUUCAGAUCCUAGGGUUUCGUUUCCUUUCCCUCUUCUUUCUCAGAAGUUAAACCCCACCUAAGCCUUCUCAAUCCUCUACAUUUUGCCUCUUCGCUUUCCACAUUUCACCUCCAUUAUCAAUUUCUAUAUUCCAGGAAAAUCUAACUCCUCUGGACCUGCCACAUCAAUCAAUUCAUGGCCAAAACCAAACCAGGCAAAAAAGACCUCGAUUCCUACACUAUCAAAGGCACCAACAAAGUUGUUCG
rnacentral:lncRNA from 1 species